UACGUAGGGGGCAAGCGUUGUCCGGAAUCAUUGGGCGUAAAGGGCGCGUAGGUGGCCCGGUCAGUUCGUGGUGAAAGCGCGGGGCUCAACCCUGCGUCGGCCAUGAAUACUGCCGCGGUUGGAGCACUGUAGAGGCAGGCGGAAUUCCGGGUGUAGCGGUGGAAUGCGUAGAGAUCCGGAAGAACACCGGUGGCGAAGGCGGCCUGCUGGGCAGUUGCUGACACUGAGGCGCGACAGCGUGGGGAGCAAACAGG
rnacentral:rRNA from 1 species